UGAUGGUGGUCUCUUCUGGAAGGGCUGUUCAAGAAAUGGGGGCUUCUGUUUCUUAGGAAGAAGUAGGGGAUGAAUUGGCACCCACAGUUCAGUAAAUCCAUUAGCGCCCGAGCUGCGGAAAGCCUGCUUGCCUGGGGGGACGUGCUGCCUGCGUGCAGAAAGGAAACGGCAACAGACAGUCCUUUUCUCAGCAGGUAGACCCUGAAGUCAUGCAGGCAGAAGCAAUCGUGCUUAGGGUCAUCCUCAUCAUACUGGAUACGGAUAUCUAAUUCCCACAGGUAAUUGAGACUUGGGGGCCCAUCCGCCUGCUGUCACUCCUUCAAAGAGGCACAAAAGAGCGAGUAUCAAAGAACAGCACGUCUCACGAGUCGCCUGUGAUGAUGCCAGUCGUGAACUAUGGGUGAAACUGCCUGUGCUACAUGUCCCUGCAUGAAAGCUGAAUCUUUCCUGCUUGGUACUGGUGCAGGGGAGCAAGCCUGGGCAGCGGGACUUCAUUCACUCUUUGGGAUGAUGACUUCAGCAAUGAAGAAUAUGAAAUAAAUCACUGGAAUGAACAAUACAGUGACAAUGUGUCAAGUUUAGACUAGCAACUUUCUACUCCUUGGAAAUAUCUAAAUAGGACUGGACAUUUAUAUGAAAUAUGGAGAGCUGUGUGGUUCCAUUAGACAGGGUAAGCGCAUACAGGAUAUAAACUAUCUUCCUUUCUGUCAGUGCAUCCCACCGCCCGAGGUUAAAAAGAGACUUACUGAAUAAUU